rnacentral:rRNA from 1 species
GAUGAACGCUGGCGGCGUGCCUAAUACAUGCAAGUCGAGCGAAUGGAUUAAGAGCUUGCUCUUAUGAAGUUAGCGGCGGACGGGUGAGUAACACGUGGGUAACCUGCCCAUAAGACUGGGAUAACUCCGGGAAACCGGGGCUAAUACCGGAUAACAUUAUGAACCGCAUGGUUCGAAAUUGAAAGGCGGCUUCGGCUGUCACUUAUGGAUGGACCCGCGUCGCAUUAGCUAGUUGGUGAGGUAACGGCACACCAAGGCAACGAUGCGUAGCCGACCUCAGAGGGUGAUCGGCCACACUGGUACUGAGCCACGGCCCAGACUCCUACGGGAGGCAGCAGUAGGGAAUCUUCCGCAAUGGGCGAAAGUCUGACGGAGCAACGCCGCGUGAGUGAUGAAGGCUUUCGGGUCGUAAAACUCUGUUGUUAGGGAAGAACAAGUGCUAGUUGAAUAAGCUGGCACCUUGACGGUACCUAACCAGAAAGCCACGGCUAACUGCGUGCCAGCCGCCGCCGUAA